UACGUAGGGUGCAAGCGUUGUCCGGAAUUAUUGGGCGUAAAGAGCUCGUAGGCGGUCUGUCGCGUCUGCUGUGAAAACUCGGGGCUUAACCCCGGGCCUGCAGUGGGUACGGGCAGACUAGAGUGCGGUAGGGGAGACUGGAAUUCCUGGUGUAGCGGUGAAAUGCGCAGAUACCAGGAGGAACACCGGUGGCGAAGGCGGGUCUCUGGGCCGUAACUGACGCUGAGGAGCGAAAGCGUGGGGAGCGAACAGG
rnacentral:rRNA from 1 species